rnacentral:rRNA from 1 species
GACGAACGCUGGCGGCGUGCUUAACACAUGCAAGUCGAACGGAAAGGCCCUGCUUUUGUGGGGUGCUCGAGUGGCGAACGGGUGAGUAACACGUGAGUAACCUGCCCUUGACUUUGGGAUAACUUCAGGAAACUGGGGCUAAUACCGGAUAGGAGCUCCUGCUGCAUGGUGGGGGUUGGAAAGUUUCGGCGGUUGGGGAUGGACUCGCGGCUUAUCAGCUUGUUGGUGGGGUAGUGGCUUACCAAGGCGUUGACGGGUAGCCGGACUGAGAGGGUGAGCGGCCACAUUGGGACUGAGAUACGGCACAGACUCCUACGGGAGGCAGCAGUGGGGAAUAUUGCACAAUGGGCGGAAGCCUGAUGCAGCAACGCCGCGUGCGGGAUGACGGCCUUCGGGUUGUAAACCGCUUUCGCCUGUGACGAAGCGUGAGUGACGGUAAUGGGUAGAGAAGCACCGGCUAACUACGUG